rnacentral:rRNA from 1 species
AUUGAACGCUGGCGGCAUGCUUUACACAUGCAAGUCGGACGAGUGGCGAACGGGUGAGUAACGCAUCGGAACGUACCGAGUAAUGGGGGAUAACUGUCCGAAAGGACAGCUAAUACCGCAUAUUAUUCGAGCGGCCGAGGUCGGAUUCGCUGGUUGGCGGGGUAACGGCCCAACCGGGCGACGAUCAGUAGCGGGUCUGAGAGGAUGAUCCGCAACACUGGGACUGAGACACGGCCCAGACUCCUACGGGAGGCAGCAGUGGGGAAUUUUGCACAAUGGGCGCAAGCCGGAUGCAGCCAUGCCGCGUGUGUGAAGAAGGCCUUCGGGUUGUAAAGCACUUUCAGCGGGGAGGCGUUACCCGCAGAAGAAGCACCGGCUAACGCCGUGCCAGCAGCCGCGGUAAUAC